AGCGUCCCUCCCAGGGACGGCAUCUGCCACACAGAAAAUGCUUGCUCAUAAUUUGCUGGGGAAAAAAAAAAAACUCUCUUGUGACCUUGGACUCCUUUCCUGCUCUACGCUCCAUCAGGAAACUCAGAAACUCCCAAGACUGAGCUGGGGCUGGGACUCAGCCACACUCCAGGACCACGGACUCCCUUUAAGAGGACACUGGACAUCGUAGAGCCCUCAGCAUCAAAGGUCAUGGUCAUCUCCAGCAGACCCCCUUACUGCCACCAAACCCUAAAGUCAAACAGGAUGAACAACCAACUCUGCUUGCUGUGAUUUCACAAGGCUCCUGGUCCACAGAGGAAAUCCCUACCUGACCCGUCGAUCAGCCCGAAACUUCAACAUCUUUUUUGGAAGCUCAGUCCCCAGUUCGGCAGCCUCCGAGGAGCCACCAGCCACCCUGCUGCUACCAUCCCUCUGAGAAGUAAGUCCUUGGAUCCAGUUCUCAAUGCUGUGGCAGAGACGCAGGGUGAGCUGGGGCAGACUCCAUGGGUUGCCCUUUCUUCCUGGCUCUAGCAAUGGAGAACAGGGACAGGGUUCUCUCUGGGCAAUGGGAGGGGUAGCCCAGGUGCCCUAGGGGGCCUGUGGCUUUAACUUCCUAGCAUUCGCCUGUGAUGCUACAGUUAGAGGUCUUGGAGGCAGAAUAAAUGAAGAGAGGACCUCCUCCCAGUUCAGGUUCACAAGACAGAAAUGCAGAAAUGGAGAGAGGCUUGCACAGAGCAGGUGUACUGCUUCCAGGUAGUCCGACCUCACUGUGCUAAGGACACUGAGCAGCUGGGCGAGCGGAGGAACACGGGCUGCAUUCCCAUCU
ensembl:antisense Gm19461 predicted gene, 19461